GGGUAUGGUUAAUAGCAUACUCAUUUGACGUUUAGCUGCAGAAGAAGCACCGGCUAACUCCGUGCCCAGCAGCCGCGGUAAUACGGAGGGUGCGAGCGUUAAUCGGAAUUACUGGGCGUAAAGCGCAUGCAGGUGGUUUGUUAAGUCAGAUGUGAAAGCCCGGGGCUCGAACCUCGGAAUUGCAUUUGAAACUGGCAAACUAGAGUACUGUAGAGGGGGUAGGAAGUUUCAGGUGUAGCGGUGAAAUGCGUAGAGAUCUGAAGGAAUAACCGGUGGCGAAGGCGGCCCCCGUCGGACCAGAUACUGACACUCAGAUGCGAAAGCGUGGGGAGCAAACAGGAUUAGAUACCCUGGUAG
rnacentral:rRNA from 1 species